rnacentral:sRNA from 1 species
CCCUAGCCCUGAUGGGAGCGACAUCCUUUUGUGGCGGGGUUCGCCACAAAAGAUAUAGCGAACAGCAGGAAUAGCU